rnacentral:rRNA from 1 species
AUUGAACGCUGGCGGCAUGCUUUACACAUGCAAGUCGAGCGGUAACAGGCCUUCGGGUGCUGACGAGUGGCGAACGGGUGAGUAAUGCAUCGGAACGUACCCAGAGGUGGGGGAUAACGCAGCGAAAGCUGUGCUAAUACCGCAUGUGAUCUGAGGAUGAAAGCGGGGGACCGAGCAGCAAUGUUUGGCCUCGCGCCUUUGUAGCGGCCGAUGUCGGAUUAGCUAGUUGGUGGGGUAAAGGCCUACCAAGGCGACGAUCCGUAGCUGGUCUGAGAGGACGACCAGCCACACUGGGACUGAGACACGGCCCAGACUCCUACGGGAGGCAGCAGUGGGGAAUUUUGGACAAUGGGCGCAAGCCUGAUCCAGCAAUGCCGCGUGCGGGAAGAAGGCCUUCGGGUUGUAAACCGCUUUUGGCAGGAACGAAACGGUGUCCGCUAAUACCGGGCGCUAAUGACGGUACCUGCAGAAUAAGCACCGGCUAACUACGUG